rnacentral:rRNA from 1 species
GGCUCAGAACGAACGCUGGCGGCGCGCCUAACACAUGCAAGUCGAGCGAGAAGGUGUAGCAAUACACUUGUAAAGCGGCGAACGGGUGAGGGAUGCAUGGGUAACCUACCCUCGAGUGGGGAAUAACUAGCCGAAAGGUUAGCUAAUACCGCAUACGUUUCCGGGACUUCGGUUCCGGAAAGAAAGCAAUACCGUGGGUAUUGCGCUCAUGGAUGGGCUCAUGUCCUAUCAGCUUGUUGGUGAGGUAACGGCUCACCAAGGCUUCGACGGGUAGCUGGUCUGAGAGGACGAUCAGCCACACUGGCACUGCGACACGGGCCAGACUCCUACGGGAGGCAGCAGUAAGGAAUAUUGCGCAAUGGACGAAAGUCUGACGCAGCGACGCCGCGUGGGGGAUGAAGGUCUUCGGAUUGUAAACCCCUUUCGGGAGGGAAGAUGGAGUGGGUAACCACUUGGACGGUACCUCCAGAAGCAGCCACGGCUAACUUCGUGCCAGCAGCCGCGGUAAUACGAAGGUGGCAAGCGUUGUUCGGAUUCACUGGGCGUACAGGGAGCGUAGGCGGUUGGGUAAGCCCUCCGUGAAAUCUCCGGGCCUAACCCGGAAAGUGCAGAGGGGACUGCUCAGCUAGAGGAUGGGAGAGGAGCGCGGAAUUCCCGGUGUAGCGGUGAAAUGCGUAGAGA